rnacentral:rRNA from 1 species
GAGCCGGCGCCCUGCCGUAAAACACCCCAAUUCUAAAUGGUUGACCUCGGAUCAGGUAGGAAUACCCGCUGAACUUAAGCAUAUCAAAA